UACGUAGGCAGCAAGCGUUGUUCGGAAUUACUGGGCGUAAAGAGUGUGUAGGCGGUGCUCUAAGUUUGGUGUGAAAUCUCCCGGCUUAACUGGGAGGGUGCGCCGGAAACUGGAGUGCUCGAGCGCGGGAGAGGAAAGCGGAAUUCCUGGUGUAGCGGUGAAAUGCGUAGAUAUCUGGAGGAACACCGGUGGCGAAGGCGGCGUUCUGGACUGCAACUGACACUGAGGAACGAAAGCCAGGGGAGCAAACGGG
rnacentral:rRNA from 1 species